ACGUGAAACCCUGUGGGAAGCAGGAGGGACCACCCUCCAAGGCUAAAUACUACCUAGUGACCGAUAGCGUAUAGUACCGUGAGGGAAAGGUGAAAAGAACCCCGGGAGGGGAGUGAAAUAGAACCUGAAACCCUGCACUUACAAGCUGUGGAAGCACAUUUCUUGUGUGACCGCGUACUUUUUGUAGAACGGGCCAACGAGUUACGUUAAGUAGCAAGGUUAAGCACUUAAGGUGUGGAGCCGUAGCGAA
rnacentral:rRNA from 1 species